GUAGUCUGCAACCCGACUACAUGAAGCUGGAAUCGCUAGUAAUCGCAGGUCAGCAUACUGCGGUGAAUACGUUCCCGGGUCUUGUACACACCGCCCGUCACACCAUGGGAGCCGGAAAUGCCCGAAGCCAGUGACCCAACCUUAGGGAGGGAGCUGUCGAAGGUGGAGCCGGUAACUGGGGUGAAGUCGUAACAAGGUACC
rnacentral:rRNA from 1 species